CCUCAGCCUGUGGGUCGUGACCCACACAGGGUCUCCUAUCAGAUAGUUUACACUACAAUAAAGAUUCAUUACAGUAGCAAAUUUACAGUUGUGAAGUAGCGACAAAAUAAUUUUGUAGUUGGGGUCACCACAGCAUGAGGAACUGUUCUAAAGGGUUGAGGCCAUAGGAAGGUUGAGAAACACUGCUCUAGGAAUUUAUGUUUUCUUUCUCUUUCAUAUUUUUCAGACAGAAUCUCAAACUGUAGCUGAGAUUGGCUUGGCUUGGAACACGUGUGUAGUUCAUGCUGGCAUCAGACUUAUGGCAAUUCUCCUGCUUCAGCCUCCUACUCAGGAGCCUACCAGGACGCUGGGAGAGAAACAUCAUCCCCUGGCACUGAACUAAGCGAGAAUCAGGCCAAGACGGAAAAGGAGAGGCUGAUUAAAGAGCUGCAGCUCAUUACCGAGGAGAGAAAUGACCUGAGAGAUCGCCUGAGGUUUCUGACAGAGAGAUCCAUGAAGAACAGGCCACACUUCAGGCCAAAUCCAUAUUAUGAAGACCUGGAGAGAAUGGAGGAGGCGGUCAUGUCAAUUCUGCACAACUUAGAGAUGGAGAACACUGAAAUCCAUGAGAACAACCAUAAGCUGAAGAAGGAGAUUACCUUCUCUAGGUAAGUCCUGGUCAGAAAGGCUAUCACCUGUGGAAUGGCCAUUUCUGACUUUCUUUGUUCUGGAUUGGACGGUCUUCAGCUCUGGUUCUAUCUCUUGUGCUGUUUACACAUCAGUGUGCCAGGGUCAUUAGGACUCAGUUUUCAGUUCCAUAAAAGACUGUUACUCAUCCCAGGAUUGUCUAGGCAUCUUCAGAAGGCUCUAGAUAGAACAGCACUGAUUGAAGUCAGCAGAAGGUUAUUAGGCUGACCUGGACCUAUGGUGUCAUACCAGGUUUUACAAAACUCAGUGUGUAGACCACAUGGUUAGCAUGACCUUCUCUUGGUUCUACUGACCUCCUUUGAGGGUGUUGGCCCACUACUAAUUGAUGUUGCCCCCAUGCAUUGGGCUUUCAUGGAUAGUUGUAGAUCCAUGUUCUUUUUGAGAGAUGUGGACACUAAUUGGUGCUCGGGCCAAACAAACAAUUUAUUCUUCCCGGAAUUUAUUCUUUGUGGUUUGUGCAGCAGCCUUAUAUGUAUCGAAAUGAAUUCUAUUAAGUCUUCAUGGGUAUCUGGGACCUGGUAGACUUAGUGGGACUUACGAGUAGGAAUGGGAGAAAGGGGCAGCAUGAUCUUACUAUGCAGACUGUAUUUCCAGAAACCUGCUCAGCCAGCUCCUGAUGGAGAACACAUGUAGGAAGAAGUUGGUCCCACUGAAGCAGGAGAGCAAGGAGGUACAUCUUGAUUGUGCACUGAACCAGAAAUAUUUGGUUGACUUCAACAAGAAAGAUAAAGACCAGCAACGUCCAGACCCAGCAUCAUCUGGUAGGGAUGAGCAGCUGUGUUAGCUUAAAAAUAUCUGAUAAAGUUUGCCAAUUUGAUACAUCUUUGCUCUCUCCUACCACCUUUCUAAUUUACACUCACAACCAGCCAACCACCUCAUGUAGUGGAAUUGUUCAUUGCUCUGCCUAUGCACAAGUAUUCUGGGAAGCCAACCACUUUUCAGAAACUGAAUUAUUUUGCAAGUAUAUUUGUCUGCUCUUUUUGAAGCUGCAGUAUAGAAAUGGUGACAGAUUAAUAACAUACCUCAUUAUUGCAUAUCCACGUGAUAGAUUGGAUGCUCU
rnacentral:lncRNA from 1 species